AUAAACGCUGGCGGCGUGCCUUAGGCAUGCAAGUCGAAUGGUUUAUUGACCGCAAGGUCUUUAAGCAAUGGCGGACGGGUGAGUAAUGGUAGGGAAUCUACCCCAAAGUGAAGGAUAGCUCGCCGAAAGGCGGGGUAAUCCUGCAUGUGGUCGCAAGAUUAAAGGGCAUAACUGCCCGCUUUGGGAGGAGCCCUACUCCUAUCAGCUUGUUGGUAAGGUAACGGCUUACCAAGGCUAUGACGGGUAGGGGGCGUGAGAGCGUGUCCCCCCACAAUGGCACUGUGAUACGGGCCAUACACCUACGGGUGGCAGCAACCGGGAAUCGUCGGCAAUGGACGAAAGUCUGACCGCGCGACGCCGCGUGAAGGAUGAAGCCCUUCGGGGUGUAAACUUCUUUUAUUUGUUCACAUGGACAUUUGAAUAAGCAUCUACUAACUACGU
rnacentral:rRNA from 1 species